GACAGAGGUUGCAAACGUUGUUCGGAAUUACUGGGCAUAAAGCGCACGUAGGCGGUUCGUUAAGUCAUGUGUGAAAUCCCUCGGCUCAACCGAGGAAUUGCGCCUGAUACUGGCGGGCUAGAGAUCGAUAGGGGUGAGUGGAACUACAGGUGGAGCGGUGAAAUGCGUAGAUAUCUGGAGGAACACCGGUGGCGAAAGCGGCUCACUGGAUCGAUACUGACGCUGAUGCACGAAAGCUAGGGGAGCAAACAGG
rnacentral:rRNA from 1 species